CCUACGGGGGGCAGCAGUGAGGAAUAUUGGUCAAUGGACGAGAGUCUGAACCAGCCAAGUAGCAUGAAGGAUGACUGCCCUAUGGGUUGUAAACUUCUUUUAUAUGGGAAUAAAAUGUUCCACGUGUGGGAUUUUGUAUGUACCAUAUGAAUAAGGAUCGGCUAACUCCGUGCCAGCAGCCGCGGUAAUACGGAGGAUCCGAGCGUUAUCCGGAUUGAUUGGGUUUAAAGGGAGCGUAGGUGGAUUGUUAAGUCAGUUGUGAAAGUUUGCGGCUCAACCGUAAAAUUGCAGUUGAAACUGGCAGUCUUGAGUACAGUAGAGGUGGGCGGAAUUCGUGGUGAAGCGGUGAAAUGCUUAGAUAUCACGAAGAACUCCGAUUGCGAAGGCAGCUCACUGGACUGCAACUGACACUGAGGCUCGAAAGUGUGGGUAUCAAACAGGAUUAGAUACCCCAGUAGUC
rnacentral:rRNA from 1 species